ACGGGGUGCAGCAGGCGCGAAACCUUUACAAUGCGCGAAAGCGUGAUAAGGGGACUCCAAGUGGCUCCUUACGGGGCCUUUUGCGGAGCUUAAAAAACUCUGCGAAUAAGGGCUGGGUAAGACCCGUGCCAGCCGCCGCGGUAACACGGGCAGCUCGAGUAGUGUUCGCGAAUAUUGGGCUUAAAGCGUUCGUAGCCGGCCCGGAAAGUCCUUGGUGAAGGCUUGCGAUUUAAUCGUGAGAAGUGCCAAGGAAACUAUCGGGCUUGGGGCCGGGAGAGGUUGGAGGAACUCCAGGGGUAGGGGUAAAAUCUUAUAAUCCCUGGAAGACCAUCGGUGGCGAAGGCGUCCAACUAGAACGGGCCCGACGGUGAGGAACGAAAGCUAGGGGAGCGACCCGGAUUAGAUACCCGGUUAGUCCUAGCCGUAAAUGAUGUCGGCUUGGUGUUGCACAACUCACGAGGUUGUGCAGCGCCGGAGGGAAACUGUUAAGCCGACCGCCUGGGAAGUAUGGCCGCAAGGCUAAAACUUAAAGGAAUUGGCGGGGGAGUACCACAAGGGGUGGAGGCUGCGGUUUAAUUGGAUACAACGCCGGACAACUCACCAGAGAAGACAGCCGAAUGAUGGUCAGUUCGAAGAGCUUACCUGACACGCUGAGAAGUAGUGCAUGGCCACCGUCAGCUCGUGCCGUGAGGUGUCCUGUUAAGUCAGGCAACGAGCGAGACCCGUGCUUCUAGUUGCUAACCGUCUUUUUGAGGCGGUGCACUCUAGAGGGACUGCCGGCGAUAAGUCGGAGGAA
rnacentral:rRNA from 1 species